CCUGUAAAAGAGCUCCGUAGAAAUAUUUUAACUUUCGUGUGUGUGCAUGUUGUCCCGAAACCUUUCUUAGUACAAGGUAAAAAAUAAUAAAAGAGAGAAAAUAAGUUGAAAUGACGGACGAUAGAAAUGAAAGGACGAUGCUUUGCAACUUGUCCAGAAACAUAGUUCAAGUGAAAAGUUGUUCAUGGAAAUCGGCAAGGUUAACAUAAUAAAAAACUCAUAGUAUUCUAUCAUUUCAUGCCAAAGAGUGCGCACUAUUUUUUUGUUUCAUGUAAAUAAGUAUCCACUCAUGUCAAUAAGUGUAGAAACCAUUGGUAAAAAUUGACCGAUGAUCCUUUUUUUUUUGGUCAGAGAAGAAAAGCCAGUUAUUUAACCAAACCGAAUAAAUUUAUUAACUAAUCAAAUAAGAGUUGGCAACGCAGAAUUAGUUGGUUACUUAAACAGAGAAAAGUUAGUAACUCCUAUUAUCAAGAUUGGUAAUUUCUAGUUGGGUUCGUGAAGGGUGAAGAGGAGUGAAGUAUUUUUAUCAACAGAAAUCAUUUUAUAACGAGGAAAGUGAUAAAGAGAAGAAAGAUCUGCUGAAGUUGUUGGCACGUAAGACAGAAGAGAAAGAGUAGACCUCAUUCUCCACCAUAACACAAUGUUUCCAUUAGAGUAGUCAAAGGAAGGGUUAGAGUAGGAAAAAUUGCACUAAGAAAGACCAAAUAAGCGUUGGUAAGUUAGUCCCGAAAAAAUAAGUCUAUAAGUCUAUAAAGUUAGUCAAAUAGAGUUAGUUACCCAAAAAGAGUUAGUAAUUUUAGCGAAAAAUAGGUCUAUAAGCUAUUCACAUAAAUAUUUGCAAAUACAUAUAAGAGCUAUUAAAUUUAAAGGAAUGGCAAGAAAAAAUAAAUAAAAUUUAAUAAAAAAUAAGAGAUGUUGAUAAUUGCACAUUGUUGAAAAGAGUCGGUGAGUUCAUACAAGUGUAAGUUACCAAUAAGUCACUUAGAAAUCAGGUAAUUGAAUACUUUUUUUAAUCACGGUUUUUUGUCACUUACAACUCUUUCAUAGGUUUAUCAAAAACUAUCCAAUUUAUUUUGGAAAGACAAACAAUAGAGUCGUCCAGAUAACUUCGGGAAAAAUACUGAUAGAAGAAUAAUCAUGAUCUUUUACUUGUUUAUCGUGGGAAAAAAAAAAAAAAAGAAUAGGUCAAUAACUAUCAAGAGAAGGGGUGAUUUCUGAAUGUGCUCUCGUUCUUUCAUAUAAGGUAGAAAACGCCAUGUAUGCUUGGAGAAAUAUUCAUUCUCUCCUUUCAUAUGCCAAGUUGAACAUUUUUAGUCUAUUCAGUUCCAAUCUUACCAUGUGAUUGCAGUCUCUCUUGAAAUUGGUGUUUCGGCUCCUGUAUGGAUAUGAUAAAUCCUGUUAUUCAUUUAACGGAAAUUGUUUCUCAUUGUUUUCUUCCCCUUCUCACCAUAUCCAUGCCUCCAAAUACAGCGGCUACUCUAUGAAAGUUCUCAAGACAUCUACUUCGCUCAGAGAAAAGGACAAAUAUGCUAAAGACGCAUGUACCUUUCUUUCCCUAAUGCUGCUCAAACUUCGCUCGAGCUGAUCCCCUCUCUGUUGGAUUUCAUCGAUUGAGCAAGAUCCAAGAUAUUCUCCUGAUAGCUUCCUGAUGUAAAAAAGAAAAGGAGCACGAUAGUUUGGGAAUUAGAUAUCAAGAAUCCAUUUCAAUCCACAAUAUAUAAGAGAGAAGUUUCAAAAUUUGUGGACCGUAGAGAAACUUCAAGAAGCUCAAUCUUCCUCUCCAUGUCAGUGGUUUCUUGCUUCAGACGCUGCACAUAUAUGGAGAUUGUGACAUUUAUGAAUCCAGUGAACGGAACAAUACAAACUGAACAAAUUUGAAAUUAGUAAUAAAUAAAACCAAUCAUAGGGACCAAAUUUGUAACACUACAGCUAAGACUGCUACUAUAAGAACCCUAAUGUUCUUGCAAAAUUUGUAGCUGCCAUAGUCAAUUCUAUGGCAUACCACCUCACUAGUUCUUGAGAUCAAAGGUAGGGUUCUAAUCAAGAACGCAGUUCGAUAUUAUUACAAUCUGCAAAUACAUACAUAAAGGUUCAACACCAACAAUCAAUUUUAAGACUUCUUCAAGAAAACAAUAAUAUGUAAAUGCCCAAGAAGGGCAUGUUUCUGAGGCAUAAAGUGGUGGAUGAUGAGUGGGAUUUCAGAAGCUGAAACCGUUUUCGNNNNNNNNNNNNNNNNNNNNNNNNNNNNNNNNNNNNNNNNNNNNNNNNNNNNNNNNNNNNNNNNNNNNNNNNNNNNNNNNNNNNNNNNNNNNNNNNNNNNNNNNNNNNNNNNNNNNNNNNNNNNNNNGCCAAAAGUCCUUUAUCUAACCAUAACAGCACUUUGAUUUCGACCAAAAUAAAUAAAUAAAUAACAGCACUUUGAUAGCACAGCUUUGGUGGCUCUCUCAAAUUAUUCCCACCUGUACUAGACUAACAUUUUGAGAUACCUGACUUUUGCUGUAAAGUAUGAAAUUUGGAUGAGUUUUCUAGAAUUUGGUUCACGAGAGGUAAUGCAUACUUAAAAAGAAUAAUUCUAGACAUAUUAAGGCUUGUCUCCUAAAUUUUUUUACUUUAUGACCCCCCAAAAAAAAUUCAUUUACUAAUUGAUGAUGUAGAUUCCUGAUAGGUACUUAAACGAGUUUACUAACUUAAAUAACAUUUAUGCAACGGCACAUCGCUUAGCAAACCAAUGUAGAAGGUAUUCCCCCCAUUCCUCAUGCUUAAGAACCAUGAAGCAUCUCUCAUGUACAAAAUCACAUGCAUCACAUAUAUGUAUUUAACCUAGUAAACGUUCAAUUUUUCAUUUUCUAUUUUUAUUAUUCUUUCAAAGUGAAACAUUUACUGCUAUUUUUCACCCAAAAAAAAAAAAAACAUUUACUGCUAUCACUCAGACAAGAGAUGUACUUAUGAAUGAACGCUCCAAGUUGCUAUCCCCAUUAAUGGUCAUAUUCUGUUGAUGCAGACAAAAAGACUUACAAAGUUAAAAUUUGAAAUAUUGACGUUUUCACUCAGCUUUGGUGACAAUGGAUGUAAUGAAAAUCAACAACUCAAAUAAGAGUUGAAAAUGAUUAGGAUUCUUCUUCUAGUUGAAAUAGCGAUCUUAUCAAUUAAGAUUUGAGCACUGUUAGGAUUUAAUUAAGUUCAAUAUUCUAGUGGUGGGACAUUGUAUUUCUUGUAUAGAUGUUUCCUAUUUCAAUCAGGUUUCUUAUUGAGAAGUUUCCCAUACUAAGUAAGAGUAGGAUUUCUAGAAUAAUUUAGCAAUUUUUUUUUUUUAAUUCGUGAUGCGAUAAUACUCUUACAUGUGAUGCCUAAGAAACCCCAUUUGUGAUGCUCAGGCUGUUUUAUGUCUGAUGCCUAAAAAAUUACCUAAUUUGAGUUGUCGUCCAUUGAAAAUUCUCUUCAAGUUCUUAUUAAGUUGAACUCACUGCUUAGGGAGAUAUCAUCCACUAUAUCAAUUUUGUAUAAUGGUAGAGAUGAUAUGUCCUGAAUAGUGAGCUUCAAAGAAAACUUGAAGAGAACAAACGAUUCAAAAUGAAUAAGUUUUUUCGGCAUCACAUCUAUACUUUCUAAGCAUCUCACCUAGGGUUUCAAAAGUGCCACACUUCAGAGAACGAUUCCAUCACACAAGAAAGAAAUACAAUCCUUAAAAACCUUUCUAGGAUUAAUGAUACUCCCACUAGGAAGACUCCAAACAAGAAAUAGAACUGAAAUAGAAUUCAUCUACAAAAGAAUUUAAUGUUCCAUUUGUGACGUAAGUAGAAAAUUUAAGAAAAUCCUGAUGGUACUCAAAUCCUAAUUGAGAAGACUAACACAAAAAUCAACUAAAAGAAUAAUCCAAAUCCUAGGUGUCACAGGCCAGCAACGACCAUCAUCAUCAAAUCUUUCUAAAAACAUCGGCCUGUUUGAUAUUGUUGCCUUCAUUACUGGCUAUAGUUCAUGAUUUAUCCUCAAUAUAAUAGACAUCAUCACAACAAACUCAAGCAGAAACUGAUUUCGAAGGUUAAAAUAAUACGUUGAGAAUUGAGGUCAUUUCUUUUCAUCUCUUGCAAUGAAAUAACACUUAUAGAGUGCCAUGUCACUUGUUAAACCAGCUCAGAAAGUGUUCCUAGCAUUCGUCAUGCUUAAGGACCAUGAAGCAGCUCUCAUGUGCCAAAGCACAGGUAUCAUGUCUAUGCAUUUUAACAUCAUGAAAGUUCAAUUUUCCAAAGCGGAACGUGUUUUGCUAUAACUCCGCCAAAAGAUGUAUCCAUGAAUGUGCCUUCCACGUUAGUGUUCCCAUCAAUAGAGAUAUACUGUUGAUGCAGACAAAAGGAUUUACUAAGUUGAUAUUUGAAUAUCGAUGUUUUUACCAAGCUUCAGUGAGUAUGGAUGCUGUGAAAUUCUACAACUCAAUGACCUAAAAGAUCAUAUUGAGAUCAAAUUGGAAUUGAUUCAGAAGUAUGAAGUAACAAGUUGAGAAUUGAGAUCAUAUCUUUUCAUCUCUUGCAAUGCAAAUAAACCACACAAAGAAGCAUCUUCAUCAAACAAGGGAAUUAUAAAAGUGAACUUCUAAAGAGAUUCAAAGAGAAAAGGUCAUUGAUCUGCAGGAAAUAGGAAGCUUCAUGAUCCAUAUUGUUCUGCAUCUAUUUAGACAUUUCGUAGAACAAAGGUUGUAAAGUAGUCCCUUGCGAGCUGCGAAUUGUGAAUUAGAGAUAUAAUUUUUUUUUUUUUUAACAUGAAGAAUUAGCAAAAAAGAUGCAUAACCAUUCAUCAUCUUAGUUCUAUCCAGCCUGGUAUUUUUAGAUUUAGCAUUUGACUAAUAAUAUAAUAUGUGGAGCCAGGAGCUGUCCCUCUCAUGAAUUACUCAUUUCUUCAUUCUAUGGUUUCACUUGAAUUGAUAAAAAAAAGAAAUAACAAUAAUUGACUUGGCAUAAAGUAAGUUUAUCCGCAACUUAUCUUGGAUAUAUACACCUUCUCAUUAAGAGAAAAAUUACCACAUUAAAGAUGUAUUCAGAAGUUGAAUGUCACUUGACUCUAUCCCUUUUUGUACAAGUAUAUCAUCAUCAUUAGUAUGAUAUCUACUUUCUGGUUCUAGUGAUCCAUUUAAAUCAUGUAUGCAGGUAGAUUGUCGCGUGAUUCUUUGCAUACCAGGCGACUAUUUAUGCAUACACAAGUAUAUAUUAUAAGGCUGUUGGGGAAAUAGAAUUUCUCGUCAUUUGUGUUCGUAUAUAGACUUCUUUGUAAGUCCCAUCCUGAAAAAGUUAGGUAAUGUGAUUUUAUAUGUUAAUUCACACACACACAAAAAGAGGAAGUUGGUUUCUUACAUACAGCAAAAUGAAUAAAAAUUGAACUGCUCAACUUGUUUAAUUAAACUGAGAAUCUCACUGAACUCCUUACGAAUGCACCUAAUGUAUUAUCAUGGAAAGGUUAGAGAACCGACCAGAAUAUAUUGUUCCACAUUAGCCUGGUACGUAGCCGCACCACUUGCAGAUCUGCGAUAUCAAUCAAUUGUCAUUCGGAUUCUGAAAAAAUUGCAAAGAUAACAUAUGAGCUCAGCCACUGGGAAUACAUUCUCCAAAUUAAUCAGUAUCACCAAAACUAAAGUAAUCAAACAUUAAAAAAAAUUAAUGAUCAUUUUUGUGAAUCAUGCAUGACUUCCAGUGAAUAUGUAUAACCAUCACUCACAAACAGAAUACGCAAGUAGCAUAAGCCUCUGCAAGAAGCUUUUAGCCUCUCAGCAACUUAUUUGAAACGAUAUGAAGUACUUGCAAAAGUCUUGGUUGCCCACCUUAUACUUUGUAAAUAAUUGAUGCCACAGAGAGUGUAGAGAAGUAAAAAGUAACACUAAUGAGAACUUAAAUGAAUAGGUCGCUCGUCACUCAUAGGAAUUCAUCUAACAGAUAAGAGCAAAACAAGAAAUCCUUCUUGUUCUCAAGCCAAAGGCUAAAUAAGCUAUGAAUCAAAACAAGUCUACCUCCUCAUUUAUCAUAGCAUGCUUAUAUAGAUGAAUUUGGAACAACCCUUCAAGCAUGAGUAAUUACCAAGACUCCUUGAACAGACAAAAGACUCAUAGAAAAGACAAAACUAGUCUUACUAGAAAACAACUAUACUUAAAUGAGGACUUCAGAAACUUAAAUGACAUUUACUAAACCUUGAAAAUAUAAGAAUCAAAUGUAGUUGGUUGUAAGUCUCCUAGUUUUACUAGUUCUGAAUUAAUGGAAUGCUCCGGCAUCAAUAAUCGUGCCAGGAAUAUUUUUCUUCAAAUUUUAGCGUAAAUGUUCAAUUUCACAUUACAAAAGUAUAUUAUGUGCACACGCGAAGUAUAUUUAAAUGCGAGCAUAGAUGCAAUGUUUUUGGCCUAGCCCAAAGUCUUCAAUAUAUUCCACAUGCCACUCCAUGUAAGUAAGAAGUAAGAACAGCACAUGAUGCUCUAAAAAUCAUUGUGAAGCAGCACAAGGACUCACUACUUCAGGGAGAAAUUGUAAGAGCAAGCAGUUGCACCUACAUUUAACUUGUGACUUCAAGUACUUUUUUUCCCGGUAAAUGAAGAAUAGGGAGUACUUUCAUGGUGGAGCAACUAAAAUGGAAAACAUGUACAAUUGCAGUCACUUUUGGACGUAAAUACUCUAUUUAUAAGAAAUCCAAGAGAUAAGUGUGUCGUGUCGCAUUAGCAUUAAUCUAUUAUACUAGCGAAUGCACUCAAUCCCAUUAAAUCACCACUACACAAAUGUAGCCAAGCCCCUAAACUUAUUCACCUUUCAGAGCACCCUAUAAUUUAAAGAACCUGAAGUUGAAGAUGUCAGGACUUGUUUCACAAGCUUUUGCUUAGGGUUAAGUACCAUUAAAAGAUCAACUUGAAAAUCUUUUGCAGGUUUUGUUUGAUUCGGAAGAGAGAUUAAUUAUGCUUUAAGUUUCGAUUCAAUGAACCAUGAUUUGAAAUGCUUCUUUAUUAUGGCAGUAGAUAGCUAACAUAUUAAUUGAUUUCCCGACUGAUAUAAUGCGUUUCAUAUGAAAUUUCUAGUUUUUGCCUUGUGUUAUGGUCAUAAACUUGAAACAUGGAUCUGCAUGAUUUGUAAGAUAGCUAUUAUCACAUAGGAUACAUAAAAUAGCCUUAAUUCACGUCUAAGUGGUAUAAUUACAACGAACUGAAUCAAACAAGGUAUGGUUUGAAACGCUUCACCCUUUUCAACUUAAGUUUGGUUUUCUUCAACAAUUUUCCAAGCAAUCAAAUUUGUUUGGAAAAGAUCUACUUCGAAUAGAAUAAUACCUAACUGCAAAUACGCUUAAUCAUCAUGCCUCAAGAACCUACAAUGUGGAAUUGGGGGGAAGGCUGAACUGUUACUUGUCAAAACCGGAAGGACCAAACAAUAUCAGUCCCUAGUUUCACUAACAUCAAAUUAUGUUUUCAUUCCCCAAGACAAAGUACUAACUAUCCUAACAUGUGAAGUAGCUGGGGGAGAUCAGUACUUGCAAGAUAUUCAACAAUUCGUUUCCUCAGAAGAACCAUUAAGAAAGAGGGAGUCCAACUCCAAUGCCACAGCCUACACAAUGAAUGCCUUUGAUCAGCUAAUCCCCCACACCUAGCCAUUUGAUUAGGUACACCCCAGUGCAUUGACUAUUCAAAAAAAUGCGAAAGAGAAGAUUCUAUAGUUUCAUACUUCCUUUCCUCAGCUAAUUUCAACUAGGAUAUUUGAAUAAAAGUCAUUGUUUUUAAAAAUUGUCCGAAAAUGAGAACUAGAUUGGUCAUCAUCGUGGGUUAGUCCAUGAUCGAAGGGGAAUAGCACUGAACACUUGACCAAAACCAAAAAUGGUAGGAAAAAAAGCAGAAUAAGAAAAAAAAAAAAAAAACCCAUGCCCUGAUGCUGUCUCUUAUUUGCACUUCACAAACACACAGCGUACAUAUGUGCAUGUGCCCUCAUUUUGGACAUAAGAAUGUCAACAUGGCUCAAUCACGUUGCCCAUCUAAAAUCAACUCGAGAAAUUAUAAAAUCGGUACGCGAACGUACUCGGAAGUGCUUGAGAACUCAUAAAGCCUUCCUUUCUGUGAAAAGAUGAUCAUGGUGACUUCGGCAUCGCAGAGGACUGAGAGCUCAUAAGCUUUCUUCAGUAGCCCAGCCUGGCGCUUUGAGAAGGUGACUUGCUGGCUCGUCGCGUUCUCAAUUCGCCUCAUCUGAACUUUGCCUCUCGCCAUGAUUAAAUUCUUCCUACAUACAUGGUGGUUAUCAACCCUAGAAUGGCAAGUACUCAAACGUAGCGAUGAACAUAACAAAUAUACCUCAACGAUCAAAAAUAAUAACUCACCAGGGACUUUGGCAGCGUCAACCAGCUGAAGAUUUAUCUUUUUAUCCACCUCCUAUUGUCUAAACUUUAGACUGAAGUUCUUCAGAAGCUAAAAACACUGCAAGACAAAUCACACUUCUUUUUUUUCCAAAUAGACAUGAACUAUAUCAUCAUUCGAACACAAGCAAAAACCACAUGAUAAAGAUUUCACAAUCAAAGGUUGGAGAAUUAUAUAUUUGCCCAGGGUAUUAAAUGGGGAAGCUUCUCUACUCUACGCACAAAAAUGAACCACAAUAAAUUCAGAGACCCUACAGAGGGAUGAGAGCGCGAAGGCAAAAACCAAAAAACUGGAACGAAAGCAAAGGAUAUUUGGCAGCUCACGGAUCUCUCUUUAUUUUGUGGCCACGAACAUAAAAAGCAAAAAAAAAAAAAAUCAUUACUAUUCCAAAUUCAACGAUCUUCUACUCAGGGCAAAUAUGGUGUGAGAUACCCAUCAAAAGGAAAUACAGACAAAAAAGGAAAGAAAUAAGGAGGCAAGCAAAGCAUUCAAGUUCGACCGAAACGGCAUGGUCAAUUUCGUAAUGAAGAGUCGGAGAAGCAGAAGGAUUGUCUCGUUUUGAUUAAGUUAUGAAAAAGAGAGUAGAGAGAGAGAGAGAGAGAGGAGAUAUUAAGUUUUUAUUUAUUUAUUAAAUAUUCUUUGCCAGCGGGCUUCAGCUUCGGCUGCUGUGGCCUGUGGGACAUUCGAAUGAGAGAGCACUAAGAAACGAAACGGGUGAAAAGAAAGAGAAAAAGGUCGUACGAUGGCCCUAAAUUGUGGACAUCACCGUACCAUGGCGCGCGCUGUUAACGAAUGGGACGUUCACAACUGGGAAAACAUUAUCCCUCACUUAAACUCAGUGAGCCUCCACUCGACCGAUGGAAAGAGGCUCUGUCCUUUUCUUGGGCCUAAUAGGAACAGCCUCGGGGCUCUUCUUCGAUCGGUUCCUCUCCUAAUGGGUUUACAAGCACUAGGAGUACUCGAAAUUAUUACCAUGAUAUAUUCAUGGAUAAAAUAAAUACAGAUCUAUCCUUUAGCUUAUCUUUUCUUCAUGUUCUUCUCAUAAUUCCUCAUUAUUUAGGGGCGUAAAAAAUACCCGAAACCUUUCAAUUUGGAUAAAAGUAAAGAAAUUCAGGAAGUUUGACGCUUCAGUUCAGAUUUCGGAUUUUUUUUCUUAGGUUAUGCACAUAGGAGAUCAAAAGUUACUGAUUAUGGUGCACUAAUCCAAAAUCACUUAAUUUUCUAAUUAGGAGAUGUGAUUUUGGACAAAACUAUUAUGUUUUGAUAGAAUACAAGUAGAGCAAACAUAUCACGAUAUCAAUAAAAUGGCCAGCUCGCCCCCAUCACUAAGCCCCUCGCUGGCAAGAAGCUCGGCAAGCGCACCCUCAAGCUCGUCUACAGAGGUAAUGCCCCAUGAAACCCUUACUUGUUGUCUCGUGUUAACAUGCAUUCUUGCUCCCUUUCUCCUUUCCGUUGGUUGGCAAGUUGAAAAUGAGUUUUGGGUACGUGAUUCGUUGGAUAUACAGUGACUGAUGGUCUUGACUCUUUAUGAAACCUAUUCAAUGGAACUUUAGCUGGAACUGGGUGCAUCGAAAUGCUGGUUCUCUUUGUCGAUGAGCUAAAUAUUCAUUGCAAAUGGCAAGCGCAAGGGGGCGGGGUGGGCUUAAAUGGGUGUGCUACGUGUUUGUGGUUCAAUUGAAAUUUCUUUAGGCUGACUAUUGGCAUGUCCUUGUGGUUCUUCCUGAUUUGCAGCUGCUGAAGACAAAUGCUUGAAAAGAGGCGUGAAGGAGGUUGUUAAAAGCAUUUGGCGUGGUCACAAAGGGUACAAAUUUAUCCUCUUUUUUUUUUUUCUAGUUUGAGCAUAAAUGCCAGUCGAUGCAAGGUCGAAUGAAAUCUCUGUAGUUGCUUGGAGCCACGUCUUUUGUUCUGCAUAGUGUUGGCUGGGGAAUGUUUGGGUUGUUGUUGAGCCCAGAUAUUCGGAAAGAGAUUUGAUUUACUAUAAAAACUAAUUUGUUUUUGUAGAAUUCUAAUGUUAUAUAAUUUGUUUUCAUUUUUCAAUCAAUGGAUCAAGACAAAGACAUAUCAAUGAAAUAUGGAAGUUAUUUGUGUAAAUCGUCGGUGGAUUUUCAAUUGGGAUUCACUUUUUAUUUCGAUUUUGAGAUUAGAAAAGUUCUAUUUUCUUUGAGAUUGAUUAUUCUGCUGGUUUGAAAGCGUGCAUGGUGAUACGUAGGAACUUUUGGAUAGGAAUGAGAGUCAUUAGCAUUUCAAUUGACAGUAUUUUUAAUCGCUAGUCCUCGCGAUUUUUAUGCAAAAAGGUUGCUGUUCAGAAAUUUUUAUGCAAAACAGAUUCUAAUAUAAACAGGGUUGACCCUAAAACCGAACUGGAAAAUUAGGGUGGGUUGGGUACAGAGUUCAAUACAAACAAGGUCGGGUACAUGGUCCAAAAAAUGGGAACCAAUUAUAACAAGGCCGGGUACAGGAUCUAGGUCUAGAUCCUACCCACCCUGGACUCGAUCAUCCCUAUUGUACACAACGAGAAAGCAUCAUUGGUUACAACAAGGUGUUUUCUCCUAUUGUAAGGCAUUUUGAUAUUUGAAUAUUACUUGUUUUAAUUGCUACACAAGAUCUCGAGCUAAAACAGCCGGAUGUCAAUAUGGCAAUUUUUAAUGAUGAGUUAGAGGAGCGCAUUUAUAUGAGGCAACCAAAAUGAUUUGUUAUUCUGAGUAAGGAAGAGCAUAUUUUUUUAUUAAAGAAAUCUUUUUAUGGGUGAAAACAGUCUCCUAAGUAAUGGUAUAAUCAUUUUAAUGUUUUUAUGACUAGUCAAGACUAUUCAAAAAUCAGUUAAACGGCUUUAGAAAAUAGGAGGAUAGAUAUUUGAUUUAUCUAUUAGUAUUUGUUGAUGACAUAUUGAUAACGGUUAAGAUUUUGUAUGAAAUUGAUGUGUUGAAGAGGUAGUUGACUACUAGAUUUCAAAUGAAAGAUUUGGGUACUACAUAAAAGAAAAAAUGUCAAAAACGCUUAUUGGAUCAAUUAUAUGAAAAGCUUUUGUUUUGAAUUGUGCUAUGAGUUUUACUUGCAAUUGAGUCGUUUAUAUAUAAAUACCGUAGGUUUAGGUAUACUCUAGGUGUGGGAAACAAUCGAGCAUGUGAGCAAUUAUUAACUCUAUGAUUCUCCAAUAAUUAGUAGAUUUCUUGCUAGCUCUUCUCGUUAAGAAGUUACCAACACAUAGACCAAACCACGUAAAUUUUUAAUGUUUUUUCUUCCUGACUUAUUUCUAUGGUGAUUUUGCAUUUAUUUAAUUCAUAAGUUCCAAUAUUUUCCACAUUAGUUUUACAAAAUUUUAGAUAGACAAGCCACCAUAUCGAUUAUAAAAUACAAAAGAUGAAGAGAACAUAGCUAAUGCAAUGUGGAAUGAAAAGGACACUAAAAUAGCACAAGGCCUUUGAAUAAAUCACAUGGGCCUUUAAUUAAAUUGCAUAUCUUUAUUAAUAUAUUAAGCCAAAGCACGCACCUUACUCAUAUGACCAACAUGCCCCAUUUAUCAUGUUUCUACAUCACAACAAUCUUGACCCUCUCAACUAUUUCAUAUUCUUUUUUUUUUCAAUAACUAAGUAAAUUUUAUAACGCAAAUAUUAACACAGUUGGAGAGCAUCUUCUCUCUACCAACUCAAUACAAAGGCAAGUCUUUAAAACAAAGAUGCAAUCCAAUUUCCACUGCUGCUAAUACUAAUUGAGUUUCUUGGACAAAAGGCAACCAUAACAUUCUCAAUGACCUUUAUACAAAGCUAAAAGGCCUUUAAGCUAGAUUUGAAAAUCUAAAUAUCCUAGAAAUCACACAAAUAUCUAUCAAUUGAGAUGGCGUAUAUUUUCUCUUUUAGCAAACCAACAACCUUAAGUCAAGUUGACAAAUAGAGUGAGUUUAUCUCCCUGCUACUCAUAGUAUUUACAUGUAAUGGCUGAUAUUAAGAGAAGUACGUAUGCGUUUGUCUAAUUUGAGUAAUGGUUAAGUAUUGGAGAAGUAAUGCUAAAUCAUGCAUUGACAUAAUAUACACAUCGUCAAUUGAUUAAACAUUUUAACCUAUAAGUCAUUAUUUCAACAUGUACAAAAGGGUAUUUUAAAAAGUCAUUAUUUGGUUUAUUGGUAGUUUGGUUAAAAUGAUCGAAAUAGAAUUACUGAUUACAAAUAGCAUUUUGCAUAAAAAGAUAAUCCAAUUUUACUUUUAAAAAAAUUCAAAAGGGAUUCUUGUCAUUUUAGUCAAUGGGAUUCAUCCUAACAAAUUUCACAUUUAAAAGUCCUCACUUAAUAUUGAUUUGCUUCCCCACAUCACUUUCACGGGUUUAUUUGAUGCACAAAAUCCAUUUUUCUUAUUUAUGAGGACAUUUAGGUACUUUUGUUGGUUUGGGAUUGAGACAUCCAAGACAAUGUUCUUGUUUUAAGAAAAGGAAUUAUUGUAGUAUGAUGUUAAAAAAUCACACUAAUAUUGGAUUAUAGCUAACAAGCCAACCAUGGAUCCUGAUGUAGACUAGCCCAAAUUAAUUCCUGACAAGUGACCAGGUAGAGGGACCCAUUGUCUUUCGAAUCCAAGCUUGUCCAUAGAUUUUUCCAUCACAAAGAAUGAAAACAAAGGGAAAAAUAGAAAGCUCAUACAUAAAUUUUGUCUCCUUUUUAUUAUUUAUUUGUAUUUCUUAUUAAUUGUUAAGUUGGAUGCACCGUACAUUUUAGUCAUCUUAUGUGUCCCGAGAGAAUUAUCAAAAAAAUCCUAAACUUAUUGCAUUUUGGUCAAUUUAGCCCUAAACCCAUGAAUACUGGCUAGACAGUUGAUCGGCUAUGUGACAAUUUUUUAAUUUUUAAUUUUAUUUUUUCAAAUUUUAAUUUUUUUUCCUUUGUUUUUUUUUUCCCAUCUCCCUCCUUCCUCAGGCUGAUCAGAGGCAUGGGCCGACAAGCAUGGGCCAGCAGGGGCGAGCCUUGCCUAACUAUAGUGAGGCCUUGCUAAAUCUGGAGACUCAGCCUCACCCAAUCAUGGUGAGGGCGAGCCUCACUGACUACUAGCAAGGUCAACCCUCGCUAGACCUAGCCAUGGCAAGCCCAGCGAUGGUGAGGCCGAGCCUCACCAAAUUUGAUGGGGCCCAACAUCGACCUCGCCAAUGGUCGGUGGGGGCGAGCCUCACCAUUGGUCAGAGAGGCUAAGCUAUGGUCAGUGGCGAUCGGCCAAAGAAAGGAGGAAGAAGGGAAAAAAAAUAAAAAUAACAAAAAGGAAUAUAUAUAUAUAUAUAUAUAUAUAUAUAUAUAUAAGAAUUAUUUAAAAAUACGAAAAUUUUAUUUAAAAAUUAUCAUGUCAAAAUCCACAAGGUAGCCAACACUAGCUGACGUCAAUGUCGAUCAACUCAAUUUGGCCAAAUGAAUUAAAUUGGCAUAAUUGGAAAAGAUUUAAAACUCGGUUGAAAAAUAAAUUUAAAACUGAAUUGACACAAUUGCAAUAAAUUUAAGAUAUUUCUGGUAAUUUUUCCCACGUGCCAUUGAUUAUCCUUAAAUGUCUGUCUCUCCAAUACCCUUCCAAUUUAAGGCAUCGCCUUGGAAACAUGUCAUCACUCACAAGCCCAGAUGGAAGCUAGCUUCUCGGAUGAAAAAAGUUGGAUCUCGUUGUUUGGGAUGAGUUACAAAUCUAUUGAGUAGCCUCAUGUUGCAACAUGACAAUUUUGAUUUCAGAAUAUUUCAGAUGUCCAUGACCUUUACAUCUGCCUAUGUCCACGCUAAGGGAAAUUAUAGAAGUGAUGAAUGAAAUUUUUUUGGCUUACCCAACCUUUAAGAGGUGUCCGACCAAAAACAAAACCUUAAAGAGGCAUCCUCAGACUGAAAAAUAAAAUAAAUUGAGAACCUCAAAGAGGUAUCCAAUGAUGUUGAAAUGCAUGCAAGCAAUUAAAAAAUAUGCUCAACAAAGACAUUUGUUUCUUGGAAUCAACCGAUGUGUAACUCAAAUGUGAAGCCCAAGGUGCAAGCAAGUUAUUUCCUUCAUUUCGCUGAAUCUUCCUCGUAUAUGUCUGUCAUUGUUCAUUUCUAAUUUGAUCUUUCUUUGCCUUCGCUAUUCUUACUCGUGGAUCUUGGAAAUGACUACCAUGAAUCCCAUGCAUAUGUUGCUUUGGCUGUGCUAAGGGGAAUCUAGCUGAGUAAAGAUAUCACCGAGUUAUAUCACCAUAAUUCUUAUUUUAUUCUAUUGAAUAGGUAUUAUUAGGGUGAUGGCGAACCAGUUUAACUCUGUGCCAAUCCGAUGAACAACCCGGUCUCACCAUCUGUACUCCGGCUGCUCCGGCUAUGUAUUGUUGUUGCUCUCAGAUGAGCUGUUGAUUGCCCGGGAUUUGCAAGACACUGAAAUUGGAAGAAAGAAAGAAAGGACCCAAAAUGCUUUUAAAUUUAAUAAAAUAAAAAAUGCAAUUGAAUGGUAAUGGACAACCUGGAAACCUUCACUCAAUUAAAAUGGGAAAAAGCUUCAACACAAUUUGAGAUUUACAAGCAAAGAACAAGCCUUUCAUGGGAUCUAAUUAGGUGACGAAGCAUCUGUCUAUGCACUCAGAUCUAUUAAUGGUCAUUGGGAGAUCUCAACUUUCCCAACAUCUGACUCUAGAAGAGGUUCUUUGCUCCAUAAUCGGAAGAAAAAAAGAAAAAAAGAAAAACUCUAACAGUGGCUAGCUACGCCAUACAUGACUACAAGCUUUGUUUCCACCGAUAGUCAAUGUCUAAAGUACAGACUAUAUCAUGAAAGUAACAUACUCUAUGUUGUAAAUUUUUCAACAGUGGUCAUAUUAAAAGGCUAUUAGUUUUUGUUAUCGAGUUAGAAUUUUCUAAACAAUCGACUAAUGGUUAAAAAAUCAUAGAAAGACACAGGAACUUUCAGUCCUUCAACAAUCCCAUGUUAGAAAUAAAGAAUUGUACAUGAUGAUGGUAAGUUGGGUAGUACUUUUCUCAACAUUAAUUACUCAAAACAUUGUGCUACUAAUUUUUAUUGCCACAUUGGCAAUUACUAACUUCGUGAUAUUUUCACUGGGAAAGUUGAAUUUAUCCCAACAACUCUAGAAGUGAUUCUCUUCCGUUCUCAAAAAAGACAAGAAAAAAAAAAGCUCGAAAAGUGAUUAUGUAUGCCAAAUGUGCUCACUAAGAACUUUUGCUGCAUCUAUAGUCCACAGUUGGAAAACCCAAUAUAUUCAUCCGUGAAAUAAAUAUUCUCAAAAUUAUGAUAUUCACAACGUAGGUCACUAACUUAGUGCUAGUAACCUUUUUCUUUUCAAGUCAGUAACUUUCCAAGCACAUCAAGUAAUGGUCAUGGGAGCACAAAAAGACAGAGAUUUAGGUCCGUCUACAGUCCUAUAGUCCAAUACACAGUUGUGUCUCUUGAUCACAAUUCCCAUAUAAUUUGUUUUCCCAGCAUGAGGUCGUAACUCUGUACUAGUAACUUCCAUUAUGGAGUCAAUCACUUUCUUAACAGAUCAAGUGCGGGAUCAUAGAAGCACACAGAUUUGAGUUUGUCUACAAUUCCAUGUAAAAAAGAAAAAUAGAAUUCUAUCUUGUGACAGUAAAUUUAUCAGUGUGGUGAUAAUUUUCUCAACUUGGAUUAGUAGCUUAGAAGUAGUAUUAAGUUUCAAGCAGGUCAUACGGUCUCAAGAUCGUAGAAUUCUUCGGUGAUGUUCAACCUAUCUGCUCAUUCUAAAUUACCCUAUCCAAAACAAAACUCCUCACCGAUAGAGAAAGGUUCAAUAUAAAUACCAGUACAUAACCCUGAAAUUAAGUAUCUCUCAUUAUGUAUUGUCCUUUUCAUAAAAACUGAUAACGUUGCAGCACUCUUUAAAUGUUUUAACACCGGGACUAAUAGAAAGCAGGACAAAUUGAUGACCAGCAAAUUUAACCAGCACAACAAACUGUACAGCACACAAUCUACUAAUAUUGGUUUGAUGGACAAAAGCAACAAGCUUCUUCACUACACAAGCCUAUUAGAACAUUAGGGCAAAAAACAUUAUUAAUCAUUAAAGACCUCUCUUUCUGGUCUUAGCAGAUCAUAAAACUGCAUUGUUAGAUCAUACAUGAAAAUUAUUGAGAGAUUCUAUUGCAGGUUUCACAAGUUUUUGGAUAGUGGUUAAUAUAUGCACAGAAGAGUGAUGAUGCACGGCAAGUAAUAGGAAGGAAAUUAAAGCACCGAUGGGAAAGAGGGAGACACCUUUGCAAGAAGCUUUGCAUUCUCUUCUUUCAGAGACCUCUCCUGAGGUAAACCAAAUAAAGUUGCUAGAUUAAUAUAACCAGGAAAUUAACAACGCCUGAUGAGAUCGGAUAUGCAAUCAUCAUAUUUGUCCACUUACCUUUGCUUGCAACUGCUGUAUCUGAUCGUUCAAUAAUUGAGCCUGUAAAAGAGUUCCGUAGAAAUAUUUUAACUUUCGUGUGUGCAUGUUGUCCCCAUACCUUUCUUAUUACAAAGUAAGAAAAAAAGAAAAGAGAGAAAAUAAGUUGAAAUGAUGGACGAUAGUAAUGAAAGGACGAUGCUUUGCAACUUGUCAAGAAACAUAGUUCAAGUUAGAAGUAGUACAUGGAAAUCGGCAAGGUUAACAUAAUAAAAAACUCAUGGUAUUCUAUUAUUUCGUGUUAUAAGUAUCAAUUUGUGUGAAUAAGUGUCAAGAAAUCAAUUAUAAAAAAUGAUCGAUGACUUUUUUUUUUUGUCAGAGAAGAAAAGCCAGUUAUCUAACCAAACCAAAUAAACUUGUUAACUAAUCAAAGAAGAGUUGGUAACACAGAAUUAGUUGGUUACUUAAUCAGAGAAAAGUUAGUAACUCCUAUAAUUAAGAUUGGUAAUUUCUAGUUGGGUUCAUAAGUAAGGCAAAUAUUUAUGUGUGCACGAGUCUCAUAAGUGAAGGGUGAAGACGAGUGAGAGUAUUUUUUUCAACAGAAUCUAUUUUAUAACUAAGAAAGUGAUAAAGAGAAGAAAGAUCUGCUGAAGUUGUUGGCAAGUAAAACACAAGAGAGAGAGUAGACGUCACUCUCCACCAUAAGACAAUGUUUCCACUCUAUCUCAAGAGUAGUCAAAGGAAGGGUUAGAGCAGGAAAAAUUGCACUAAGAAAGACCAUAUGAGCGUUGGCAAGUUAGUCCCAGAAAAAUAAGUCUAUAAGUCUAUAAAGUUAGUCAAAUAGAGUUAGUAACCAAAAAGAGUUAGUGAUUUAAGCAAAACAUAGGUCUAUAAGUCAUACAAAUAAAUAUCUGAAAAUAUAUAUAAGAGCUAAUAAAUUUAAAGGAAUGGCAAGAAAAAAAAAAUUUACUAAAAAAAUAAGAGAGAUUGAUAAUUGCACAUUGUUGAAAAGAGUUGGUGAUUUCAUAAAAGUGUAAGUAAGUUACCAAUAAGUCACCUAGAAAUCAGGUAAUUGAAAGCUUUUAUUUUUUAUCAUGGUUUUUUGUCACUUACAACUCUUUCAUAGGUUUAUAAAAAACUAUCCAAUUUAUUUUGGAAAGACGAACAAUAGAGUCGUCCAAAUAACUCUAGGAAAAAUAAUGAUAGAAGAAUAAUCGUGAUCUUUUCCUUGUUUAUUGGCAAAAAAAGAACAGGUCAAUAACUAUGAAGAAAAACGGUGAUUUGUAAAUGUGCUUUCAUUCUUUCAUAUAAGGUAGAAAACGCCAUGUAUGCUCGGAGAAAAUUGAUUCUCUCCUUUCAGAUGCCAAGUUUAACGUUUUCAGUCUAUUCAGUUCCAAUCUUACAAUGCGAUUAGAGUCUCUAUCGAAAUUGGUGUUUUGGCUCCUGUAUGCAUAUAUGGUCAGUCUUGUUAGUUAUUUGAGAGAAAUUGUUUCUCAUUGUUUUCUUUCCCUUCUCACCAUAUCCAUGCCUCCAAACACAACGGCUACUCGAUGAAAGUUCUCAAGACAUCUACUUCGCUCAGAGAAAAGGACAAAUAUGCCAAAGACACAUGUACCUUUCUUUCCUUAAUGCUGCUCAAACUUCGCUCGAGUUGAUCCCCUAUCUCUUGGAUUUGGUCCAUCGAGCAAGAUCCAAGACAUUGUCCCGAUAGCUUCCUGAUGUAAAAAAGAAAAGGAGUACCAUAGUUUAGGGAAUUAGAUAUCAAGAAUCCAUUUCAAUCCACAAUAUAUAAGAGAGAAGUCUCAAAAUUUGUGGACCGUAGAGAAACUUCAAGAAGCUCAAUCUUCCUCUCCAUAUCAGUGGUUUCUUGCUUCAGACACUGCACAUAUAUGGAGAUUGUGAUAUUUAUGAAUCUAGUGAACGGAACCAUACAAACUGAACAAAUUUGAAAUUAGUAAUGGAUAAAACCGAUCAUAAUGAACAAAUCUAAAACACCACAGGAUCCUGCAAAACUAAGAUUGCUACUAUAAGAACCCUAAUGUUCUUGCAAAAUUUGUAGCUGCCAUAGUAAAUUCUAUGGCUUACCACCUCAGUAAUUCUUGAGAUCAAAAGUAGGGUUCUUAUCAAGAACGCGAUUCGGUACUAUUACAAUCUAUAAACACAUACAUAUACGUUCACACCAACAAUCAAUUUUAAGACUUCCUUCAAGAAAACAAUAAGAUGUAAAUACCCAAGGAGGGCAUGUUUCUGAGGCAUAAAGUGGUGGAUGAUGAGUGGGAUUUCAGAAGCUGAAAGAAUUUUAGAGGACCAGUCAAUGUCCUCAGGACAUGUACAAAGACCAAAAUAGCACUUUUAAUGUUAUAUUUAACUUGAAACCUAUUUUUCUCUUUAUACAUAUCAGCAGUUUCUCCUGUCUGCUUCCCAGUCAUUGCCAAACCACAUGAAUAACAGUGGUAAGGCUGCAAUAAUAUUACAGGUCCUUUAUCUAACCGUAACAGUGUAAGAGUUUUCCUGAUGUGGGCUACAUUAAUUGAUAUUGUAAUUUACCGUUUUAUGAGGUUUAGUCUAAGGUGAGAUAGAAGGUUUCUUAAUUAGUCUAAUAUAGGGUUGGCCAGUUUGGGCCGAGUUGAGCCAGGCCCGUAAUGAGAAGACCCAGUUUAAAACUCUAUAAAAGUGCUCAAAUCUCUCCUCUAACCCUAAUUCUCACAAGUAUCCUCAUAUAAGGAGCAUUUACCUAGCGCUAAAGGGUGAGGAGGCCAUCUCAUUGAGCCAGUGAUAUGGAGGGCAAUAGAGGAGAAUAACUUGAAUUGAUCUAAAAGAAAUUCAACAAUUGAUUUGGCAUAAAGGAAGGAUAAUUUACUUGGCAUAAAGUAAGUUUAUCCGCAACUUAUCGUGGAUAUAUACACCCUCUCAUUAAUAGAAAACUUACCACAUUAAAGAUGUAUUCGGAAGUUGAAUGUCACUUGACUCUAUCCCUCUUUGUACAAGGAUAUCAUCAUCAUUAGUAUGAUCCCUACUUUGUGGUUCUAGUGAUCCAUUUAAAUCAUGUAUGCAGGUACAUUGUUGCAUGAUUCUUUUCAUACGAGGCGACUAUUUAUGUAUACACAAGUAUAUAUUAUUAGAUUGUCGGGGAAAUAGGAUUUCUCACCAUUUGUGUUCGUAUAUGGACUUUUUGUGAGUCACAUCCUGAAAUAAGUUAUGUAAUGUGAUGUUAUAUGUUAAUCCACACACACACGGGAGAAAAAAAGAAGAAAAAAAGAAGAAGAGGAAGUUGCUUUCUUACAUACAGCAAAAUGAAUAAAAAUUGAACUGCUCAGCUUGCUUAACCUCUACAUAAUGUGCUUACGACUGCACCUAAUGUAUCAUCAUGGAAAGGUUAGAGAACUGACCAGAAUAUAUUGUUCCAUAUUAGCCUGGUAUGUAGCCGCAUCAUUUGUAGAUCUACGAUAUCGAUCAAUUGUCUUUUGGAUUCUGAAAAAAUUUGCAAAGAUAACAUAUGAGCUCAGCCACUGGGAAUACAUUCUCCAAAUUAAUCAGGUAUCGUCAAAACUAAAGUAAUCAAACACUAAACAAAUUAAUAAUCAUUUUUGUGAAUCAUGCAUGACUUCCAGUGAAUAAGUAUCACCAUCACUCACUAACAGAAUAUGCAAGGAGCAUAAGCCUCUGCAAGAAGCUUUUAGCCUCUCAGCAACUAAUUUGCAACGAUCUGAAGUACUUGGAAAAGUCUUGGUUGCCCACCUUAUACUUUGUAAAUAAUUGAUGCCAGAGAGAGUGUAGAAAAGUAGAAAGUAACACAAAUGAGAACUUAAAUGAAUAGGUCGCUUGCCACUCGUAGGAAUUCAUCUAAGAGACAAGAGCAAAACAACAAAUCUUUCUUGUUCUCAAGCCAAAGUCAAAAUAAGUUACGAAUCAAAACAAGUCUACCUCCUCAUUCAUCAUAGCAUGCUUAUAUAGAUGAGUUUGGAACAACCCUUCAAGCAUGAGUAAUUACCAAGACUCCUUGAAAAGACAAAAAGACUUAUAGGAAAGACAAAACAAGUCUUACUAGAAAAUAACUAUAAUUAAAUAAGGACGCUAGAAACUUAAAUGACAUUUACUAAACCUUGAAAAUAUAAGAAUCAAAUGUAGUUGGUUGUAAGUCUCCUAAUUUUACUAGUUCUGAAUUAAUGGAAUGCUCCGUCAUCAAUAAUCAUGCCAGCAAUAUUUUUCUUCAAAUUUUAGCGUAAAUGUUCAAUUUCACAUCAUAAAAGUAUAUUAUGUGCGCACGCAAAGUAUAUUUAAAUGUGAGCGCAGAGUGAGCUAAGGCAUUGUUUUUGCCCAAGCCCAAAGUCUUCAAUAUAUUCUACAUGCCACUCCAUGUCAGUAAGAAGUAAGAACAGCACAUGAUGCUCGUAAAAUCAUUGUGAAGCAGUACAAGGACUCACUACUUCAGAGAGAAAUUGUAAGAGCAAGCAGUUGCCCCUCCAUUUAACUUGUGACUUCAAGUACUUAUUUUCCCUGUAAAUGAAGAAGAGGGAAUACUUACACGGUGGAGCAACUAUUGCAAACAUGUACAAUUUCAGUCAGUUUUGGACAGAAGUACUCUAUUUAUAAGAAAUCCAAGAGAUCAGAGUGUUGCGUCAUGUUCGCCUAAAUCUAUUAUACUAGUGAAUGCACUCGAUCCCAUAAAAUCACCCCUACACAAAUCUAGUCAAGCCCAUAAUCUUAUUGACCUUUCAAAGCCCCCUAUAAUUUGAAGAACCUGAAGUUGAAGAUGUCAGGACCUGUUUCACAGGCUUUUGCUUAGGGUUAAAGUACCAUUAAAAAAUCAACUUGAAAGUCUUUUGCAGGUUUUGUUUGAUUCAGAAAAGAGAUUAAUUAUGCUUUCAGUUUCGAUUCAAUGAACUGUGAUUGGUAAUGCUUCUUGAUUAUGGCGGUACAUAGGUAAUUCGUUAUUCAAUUGCCUGACUAAUAUAAUGCAUUUCAUAUGAAAUUUCUAGUUUUUGCCUUGAAACAGUGAUCUGUAUGGUUUGUAAGAUAACUAUUAUCACAUAGUAUACAUAAAAAAGUCUUAAUUCACAUCUAAAAGGUAUAAUUACAACGAACUAAAUCAAACAAGGUAUGGUUUGAAGGCUUCACCCUUUUCAACUUAAGCUUGGUUUUCUUCAACAAUUUUCCAAGCAAUCAAAUUUGUUUGGAAAAAUCUACUUCGAACAGAACAAUACCUAAUUGCAAAUACGCUUAAUCAUCAUGCCUCGAGAAUUAGUUACGGAGAUCAAUCCCUAGAAGCAGCCUUAAAACCUAUAACGGUUCAAAAAGGAACACUACACGGCGUUAUCAUUUCAUAUCAAUGUGGAAUUGGGGGGAAGGCUGAACUGUUACUUGUCAAAACCAGAAAGACCAAACAAUAUCAGUCCCUAGUUUCACUAACAUCAAAUUAUGUUUUCAUUCCCCAAGACAAAGUACUAACUAUCCUAACAUGUGAAGUAGCUGGAGGAGAUCAGUACUUGCAAGAUAUUCAACAAUUCGUUUCCUCAGAAGAACCAUUAAGAAAGAGGCAGUCCCAACUCCAACGCCACGGCGUACACAAUGAAUGCCUUUGAUCAGCUAAUCCCCCACAUCUAGCCAUUUGAUUAAGUACACCCCAGUGCAUUGACUAUUCAAAAAAAUGCGAAAGAGAAGAUUUUAUAGUUUCAAAACUUCCUUUCCUCAGCUAAUUUCAAGUAGGAUAAUUGAAUAAAAUUCAUUGUUUUUGAAAAUUGUCCCAAAAUGAGAACUAGAUUGGUCAUCAUGGCGGGUCAGUCCAUGAUCGAAGGGGAAUAGCACUGAACGCUUGACCAAAACCAAAAAUGGCAGGAAAAAAAAGGAGAAUGAGAAAGGAAAAAAAAAAGAAAAACAUGCCAUGAUGCUGUCUCAUAUGUGCACUACACAAACACACAGCGUAUAUAUGUGCAUAUGCCCUCAUUUUGGACAUAAUAAUGUUAACAUGGCUCGAUCACGUUCCCCAUCUAAAAUCAACUCGAGAAAUUAUAAAUCAGUAUGUGAACGUACUCGGAAUUGCUUGAGAACUUGUAAAGCCUUCCUUUCUGUGAAAAGAUUAUCACGGCAACUUCAGCAUCACAGAGGACUGAGAGCUCAUAAGCUUUCUUCAGUAGCCCAUUCCGGCGCUUUGAGAAGGUGACUUGCCGGCUCAUCGCGUUCUCAAAAUUCGCCUCAUCUGAACUUUGCCUCUCACCAUGAUUAAAUUCUUCCUACAUACAUGAUGGUUAUCAACCCUAGAAUGAGAAGUACUCAAACAUAGCGAUGAACAUAACAAAUAUACCUCAACGAUCAAAAAUAACAACUCACCAGGGACUUUGGCAGCUUCAACCAGCUGAAGAUUUAUCUUUAUAUCCUCCUCCUAUAGUCUAGACUUUAGACGGAAGUUCUUGAGAAGCUAAAAACACUGCAAGACAAAUCACACUUUCUUUUUUUUUCAAACAGACAUGAAGUAUACCAUCAUUCGAACACGAGCAAAAACCACAGGAUAAAGAUUUCACAAUCAAAGGUCGGAGAAUUAUAGAUUUGCCCAGCGUAUUCAAGGGGGAAGCUUCUCUGCUCUACGUCAGAAAACGGAACCACAAUAAACUCAGAAACCCUAAAGAGGGAUGAGAGGGCGAAGACAAAAGCAAAAGAACUGGAUGAACGCAGAGGAUAUUUGGCAGUUGAUGGAUCUCUCUCUUUAUUUUUUGGCCACAAACAUAAAAAGAAAAAACAAAUCUGAUUAUUCAAAAUUCAACGAUCUUCUAAUCAGGGAAAAUAUGGUGUGAGCUACUCAUAAAAAGGAAACACAAACAAAAAAGGAAAGAAAUAAGGAGGAAAGCAAAGCAUUCAAGUUCAACCGAAACGGCAUGGUCGAUAUGGCAAUGAAGAUUCAAAGAAGCAGAAGGAUAAUCUUGUUUCGACAAAAUUAAGAAAAAGAGAGUAAAGAUAGAUACGGAGAGAGAGAGAGAGAGAGAGAAAAGAUAUUUUGUAUUUUUUCGGAAAAAAAACGUAUAUUUUGCCGGUGGGUUUGAGCUUCGGCUGCUGUGGCCUGUGGGACAUUCGAAAGAGAGAGCAGUAAGAAACGAAACGGGUGAAAAGAAAGAGAAAAAGGUCGUACGCUAAACUAUAAAUUGUGGACAUCAUCGUACCAUGGCGUGCGCAGCUAACCUAUGGGAACAACUGGGAAUACAUUAUCUAACUUAAACUCAGUGGGCCCCUACAUGACCAAUUGAAAGAGACUCUGUCCUUUUCCUGUCCUUUUCCUGAGCCAAAAGUCUUUAGGAAAAUGCAAAUACCUUUGACUUAAAAGGUGUUUUCCAAAAUGCAACCGUGUUUGGUAAAUUGUACUUUGAAAGCUCUUUGUAAAGUAUUUUGAGCAAAAUAGCGUUUGGGGAAUUACACUUACAAAAGAUCUUUGUGGUAAAAAAAAAAAUUAUCAAAAGAAAAAUUAAAAAAAAUUGACCAAAGGGCAGUGGCCGCCGGCGACCUCCGGCGACCUCCGGCGACCUCCGGCGACGCCGGAUCUGGGGCAGCGAGGUCGCGCGACGCCGUCGCGACCUCCGGCGACCUCCGGCGACGCCGGAUCUAGGGCAGCAAGGUCGCGGGAGGACCUCGCCGCCCCGGAUCUGGGGUCGCAGGAGGUCGCCGGAGGUUGCCGGAGGUCGCCGGGGGCAACUGCCCUUUGGUCAAUUUUUUUUGAUUUUUCUUUGGGAAAUUUUCGAGGGCCGCNNNNNNNNNNNNNNNNNNNNNNNNNNNNNNNNNNNNNNNNNNNNNNNNNNNNNNNNNNNNNNNNNNNNNNNNNNNNNNNNNNNNNNNNNNNNNNNNNNNNUGGGUCGCGGUGACCAGACCUUGCCGUGGGUCGCGGCGGUCGUGCCACCGCCUGGCGUCGCUCGUCUGGGCGACGGUCGCGGGCGACCGCUCGCGGAAGAAGAAGACCGUUGCCGCUCCAGAUCUGGGUUGCGGUGACCCAACCCUCGGUCGCGCCACCUCCGGUGUCGGUUGCGCCACCUCCGGCGUCGGUUGCGCCACCUCCGGCGUCGGUCGCGCCACCCCCCGACGAUCGCCGGCGUCCCUCUAGCAGUCGCCGGCCGCUCACAGUCAGCCGGAACCGAACCCCCCGGAGAAGAUGAACAGUAGCGACACAAGGGCAAGAACCGGAAAAACAAAACAUUCGUGAGGACAAUUUUGGAAAAAAAAAUUAUGAACAGUGCCCGCGUGGGCAUGCCGAAAAAGCCGAAAGCCCAAGGCAGGUCCCCCCCCGCCUUGGGCUUUCGGCUUCACACAUGCUGGCAUUUCCGAAAUGCGGGCUCAAAAAAUUUUCCCAAACGGGCUGGCAUUUGGCCAAGUACCUUUAGGCUUCAAAGGGGCUUUGGGAAGUGGUUCCCAAACGCACCCUCUGUCCUUUUCCUGUCAUUUUCCUGAGCCAAAUAGGAACAGCCUCGGGGCUCUUCUUCAAUCGAUUCUUCUCUUGGGUACAACGCCAAAGUCACUGAAUGAAAAGGUGAUCGGUUCCAGUUCGGUCCGGUUCCAAGGUGCGACCCAUAGCAGUGGGCNNNNNNNNNNNNNNNNNNNNNNNNNNNNNNNNNNNNNNNNNNNNNNNNNNNNNNNNNNNNNNNNNNNNNNNNNNNNNNNNNNNNNNNNNNNNNNNNNNNNNNNNNNNNNNNNNNNNNNNNNNNNNNUGUUCCGAACCAAUCAAUGAAAAUUCGCUUCCUCGGGGAUCUAAUAAAACUACUCACACAUGUUUUCACGUGCAAAAUAUUCAAACUUCACUUGCGUGAAUAUUAAUUAUAAUUUAUGUGUUUCACUCUUAAUUUUAAGCAUAAAAGCCAUGAACAAUUUGAGUAAAAUCUGUUAUUGGCUUAGGUUUUAUAGACAAUCUCUCUUCUAUGCUUUGAAUGUUUAGUCGAUGUUAGACUCUUUGAGGCCUGAAGUGCCUUGUUGUUUGCAAGUGAGGGGAGCAAGAGAGAGAGUGAGCAUGAGGAACUCCUAGAGCCUUAUCCCACAUCGAGGAGAAAAUAAAACUAACAAAUAAGUUUUCUAAGAGUUUUGGUGGUCUCUUGGCCACAUAAGAGAUUGUUACAUCAAUUGCAAUUACGAUUGCAACAAGUUUCAUAUAUAAUAUUCAUAUAUUAUAUGUGUUUAUAUAUUAUAUGUAUAUAAAUUAUAUAUAAAAAAAUUUGGUCCAGUCCAGUUGGUCCGGUUGGUUUGGUUCCCACCUUGAAACUGGGAACCGGACCGCCGACCGUGGGAACCGCCCAAAACCGGCCGGUUCAGUCCGGUCCGGUCCGGUCCCGGUUUGGGCGAUUUCUGUUGCACACCCCUAACUGAAUGGUAAGUCGUCCAUCUGAUUGACACGGACUAUCGGAAUAUACUUUAUUUGCUGAAUUACGUUAUAAGUGGGCAUUUUGCCAAAAGUUUAUAUUUGAUCAAUUUAUCCUUAUGUGAUUCCUAUUGAAUUAUAUAUUGAGAGAUUUGGUUCAGUAUUUCAAAAACUUAUUAAGAAAAUAUAAAGUAAUUUAAUUUAAAAUAUUUUGAGUAAAUGCAAAAGUUAUUUGGUAAACUAUACUUUAAAAAACAACUUUGAAAAAAAUAUUGUUUGGUAGAAAACUUAUUUAAAAAGUUUUUUGAGCAAGUAAUAUUAGUUUUUUAAUUUUUAUUUGUUUAAAAUUGAAAAAAAAUAAUCUAUGCAAAUUUUUAAAUAUAAAUUUUGAUAAUAUGCUAAAAGAAUCAAAUAUAUUCAACGGGUUUAUUCCUUUUUUUUAAAUUAUAUAUAUGUAUGAUUUUUAGCAUUAAAAAAAAAUAAUGAUGGCAAAAUCAAAAAUUUGAAGAAUGAGUUAUAGUAGUUUUAGAAGAAAAAAUGAGUUUCAGAAAGUUCAAUGGCAUUCAACCUUCUCAAUGUUGCUUUCCACUUGAAAGUUAAUUUAAAAUAAUUGUCAAAUGGUCCAGCAUUUCUCCAAAGGGUUUUGAAGGCCGAAAGCUCAUUGAAAAUGCUAACCUAAACGCACCAUAUGGGUUUACAAGCACAAGGAAUACUCAAAAUUAUUACAAUGAUAAAUUCAUGGAUAAAAUAAAUAUAGAUCCAUCGUUUAACUUAUCUUUUCUUUAUGUUCUUCUUAUAAUUCCUCAUUAUUUAGGGGUGUCAAAAAUAUCCGAAACUUUUCGGUUUGGGUAAAAGUAAAGGAAUUUGGGAAAUUUGACACUUCAGUUCAGGUUUCGUUUUUUUUUUUUUUUUUUAGGUUAUGCACACAAGAGAUCAAAGGCUAUUGACUAUGGUGCACUAAUCCCAAAUUACUUGAUUUUCUCAUUAGCAGAAAUGUGAUCUUCAAUCAACCCACCACCAAAAAGAAAUGUGACUUUCGAUAAGACUACUAUGUUUUGACAAAAAAUUAGUAGAGCAAACAUAUCAUAGUGUUAAAAGUAAGAUAACAAAUGUUAAGAUUGCAUAUGAGUCCGUAACUCCUAAAGUCAGUGAUAUUAAACAGCUAGCAAAAUCGUAGCACUCUCUAGUCAUAAGUAGAUAGAGAAGGCAAAUUAGGCCACCGAUACAUUAUGAUUAUACAUAUAUUACUUUUACAUUUAUUGUAGAGGGAUAAGGUAGAAACAAAUGAGCAUUUGUCUUACCAUGAGGCAAUAGUUAGUGCCGAUAAUUAUAGUGGAUAGAGGCUAUAGGUGAAUAGAUGGAAUCACUUCAUAGGAACUAGACAUGGGAGCUUGUUAGAUCGUCCAAGAGCCAAAACAUCAUUGAAAACAAGUGGAUUCACAAACGGAAGGAGGGCAUCGAGGUAUAUGGGGAGACUUGUUGUGAAAGGAUGUACACAAAGAGAGAGCAGCAUUGGUUACAACGAGGUGUUUUCUCCUAUCGCAAGACAUUAUUAUAUUUGAAUAUUACUCACCUUAAUUGCUAUACAAGAUCUUGAGCUAGAAGAGCUGGAAGUGAAAAUGGCAAUUUUUAAUGAUGAGUUGAAGGAGCGGAUUUACAUGAAGCAACCAAAAAGAUAUGUUAUUUCAGGUAAGGAAGAUCAUGUUUAUUUACUAAAAAAAUCAUUUUAUGGAUUAAAAAAGUCUCCUAAACAAUAGUAUAAUUGUUUUGAUGUUUUCAUAGCUAGUCAAAACUAUUCAAAAGUCAGUUGGAUAACUUACUUUAGGAGAUUGGAGAAUAGAUUUAUGUAUUAUUAUUUGUUGAUGACAUAUUAAUAACAAUUAAGAUUUUGUAUAAAAAUUAAUGUGUUGAAGAGGUAGUGGAAUAUGAGGUUUCAUAUGAAAGAGUUGGGUACUAAAUAGAAGAAAAAAUGUCAAAAACGCUUAUUGGAUCAAUUGUAUGAAGAGCUUUUGUUUUAUAUUAUGUUGGCUUAUUGGAUCAAUUGUAUGAAGAGCUUUUGUUUUAUAUUAUGUUGUAAGUUUUACGUACAAUUGAAUUGUUUAUUCAUAAUACUGUGGGUUUACGUGAAACAAUCAAGCAUGUAAGUAAUAAUUAACUCUAUGAUUCUCCAAUUAUUAGUAGAUAAUUUGCUGCUAACUCUUUUCUUUGAGGAGUUACCAACAUAUAGAACAAAUUGCAUAAAUUCCUAAUGCUUUUUUGUCCUGACUUAUUACUAUGGUGAUUUUGUAUUGAAUUAAUUUGCAAGAUUCGAUAUUUAACAUUUUAAUUUUACAAAAUUUAGAUGGACAAGUCACCAUAUCAAUUAUAAAAUACAAAUGAUGAGGACAACAUAACUAAUGCAACGUGUAUUCAUGAGGACACCAAAAUAGCACAGGCCUUUGAUUAAAGCACAUAUUGAUAACACAUGCCUUUGAAAUGCAUACCUUUACUAUUAUAUUAAGCCAAAGUGCGCACCUUGCGCAUACGACCAACAUGAACCAUUUAUCAUGCUUCUACAUCACAACAAUCUUGACCCUCUUGACUAUUCCACAUUUAAUUUUCAAUAAUUAAGUACAUUUUAUAGCGCAAACAUCAACAUACUUGGAGAGCAUCUUGUCUUUACCUACUCAAUAUGGAGGCGUGUCUUCAAAAUAAAAAUGCAAUCCAACUUCCACAGUUGCUAAUACUAAUUGAGUUCCUCGGACAAAAGGCAACCAUAACAUUCUCAAAGACUCUUAUACAAAGCUAAAAGGCUCCUAAACCAAAUUCGGAAAUCUAAAUACCCUAGGAAUCACACAAAUAAUUAUUAGUUGAGAUGACAGAUAUUUUUUCUCCUUCAACAAACCAACAACCUUGAGUUGGGUUCACAAGUAGAGUGUGUUUAGAAACUUGAUUAUACAUUUGUAGUUAUCUCUCCACUAUUUACAGUAUCUACAUGUAAUGGUUGAUACAAAGAGAAGUAUGUAUGUGUUUGUCUAAAUUAAGUAAUGGAUAAGUAUUGGAGAAGUAAUACUAAAUCAUGCAUUGGCAUAAUAUACACAUCUUUGAUUGAUCAAAGAUUUUAGCCCGUGGAUCAUUAUUUGGACAUGUAUAAAAGAGUAUUGUGGAAAGUCAUCAUUUAGUUUAUUGGUAAUUUGGUUAAAAUGAUUGAAAAAGAACCACUCAUUACAAAUAACAUUUUGUGUAAACAAAUGAUCCAAUUUUACUUUUAAGAAAAUUCAAAAGGGAUUCUUGUCAUUUUGAUCAAUAGGAUUCAUCCUAACAAAUUUUACAAUUAAUAGUAUUCUCACUUGAUAUUAAUUUGCUACCCCACAUCACUUUCACAAGAAAAGCGUUAAAAAAUUCUAAACAUUUUAUAUGUGUGCCAAUUUAGUCCUAAAUUUUUUUACUUGGUGCUAAUUCAAUCAUUCCCGGCUAAUUUUGGCCAAAUUUUGCCGAUUGGGUAUCGGCCAGUCGACAUUGACAAUUUUUAAUAAUAUUUUAAUAUUUAUGAAUUUUUUGUCUUUUAUUUUCUUUUUUCCUUCUCCUCUUCCUUCCUCCAGCCAAUCCUCGUACCUCGACGACUGGCCAGAGGUGAUGGCUGGUAAAGCUCAAGCCCUCGCCAUUUGCUACGAGGGCAAGCCUCACAGCCCAAGCCAUGAUGGCGGCCUUGCGCCAAGUUGGCAAGGCUUGCCCUCGUUGAAUCUGGCGAGGUUCAAGCCUCGCAGCCAUGGUUGGCGAGGCUUGAACCUCGUCGCCCAGCGCAAGGCCGCCCUCGUGGCCACUAGCGAGGGCUUGAGCCUCGUCGGCCAUCGCCUCUGGCUGGUUGUCGAGGACUGGCGACUGACUGGAGGAAGGAGGAAGAUAAGGAAAAAGGAAAAAAUAAAAAGAAAAUAAAAAAUAAAAAUAUAUAUUAAAAUAUUAUUAGAAAUUGUCCAUGUUAGCGUUAUGACUAAGUUAACAUAAAUGAAAAAAGUUUAGGACUUUUUAAACACUUUUCUUUCACUUUCACAUGUUUGUUUGAUGCACAAAAUCCUUUUUUUCUUAAUUAUGAGGACACUAAGGUACUUUUCGUGACAUAAGAUUGACUCAUCCAAGACAAUGUUCUUAUUUUAAGAAAAGGAAUUAUUGUAGUAUGAUGUUUUAUAAAAAUAACACUAGUAUUGGAUUAUAGCUGACAAGCUAGCCAUAGAUCUUUAUGUAGUGUGACAUCCCGAUUUUCCAAUUAUAUUUUCAAUAAAUUGAGACGGUCAUUUCGUUGGCACACAUAUAGUUCUUUUCCCUGAACUGAUCACUCAUGGGAUAACUAGUGUCACGCCCCGAACCUCGAGCGCGCCAACAUCCCACCAUGGUCAUGUAAAUGUGACAUUCUCAAGUAGUGUCGCCGACCCCAUUCAUUUAUUAUUGCGCAAGCGGAACGUAUUAUAAAAUCCCUGACAAUGAAAUACCGGAUAGAAAAGCAGGAAGCAAAUUCACAACCAAUCACUUACAUAAACCAACGGAGUUACAAACGAAGGCCUACAGCCAAAAGUCUACAAAAAACCGGCUCUUAAAAAUGAAUUGUCUUACGACCUAUAAGUCAGACACGUUCUCCAAUCCUCAUGACUUCACCUCUGCAACUCCUUAAGGUCAACCAAAGCUAUCUAGCCGCUCCGUCCACUAGGGACCUGAAAUUGCAAUCCCCCAACCGGGAUGAGAUAAUGUCUCAGCAAGUUCAACCCCCUAAACCCCUAUUAGAAAGAAAAUACGCCUAAGGGUGGCAUAGCCACACAACAUAGAGGACUUACCUCGCAUCGGUUCCUUCCUGCAGGUUAGCACAGUUCAUAUCACUCAAUCAUAUGCAGUAAUAAGAACUUAAACAACCGGAACGCAUUCACUUUCAUAUAACCAACAAUCGCGGGGGUCCUGAUUAUAAGACUAAAUCGUUAUAACACGUCACAUUCCAUGCCACACAAUUCCGUCCCAUAAUCCGGCACAUCAACAACACUCAACAUGCAUUCUAACUGUUAUUCACUGCCACACAAGGGCAUAGCCUACUCGUAGUUCGGCUAUCUACUGGCAUAUAGCCAGGCAUCGCCUCCCCACCUUGGAGCGCGGCUUCGUCAGUACGUCGAUGGCGUUCCCGAAGGAGCAUGGGCCCCAGAAUCAACUGCGACCCGCAACCAAUACGUGGGCAUCCCAUAUAGGGGCAAAUCUGGUUCAACAGCCUAGGACGAUCUCCUCUUAAUUGUCACACAACAAUUCAUAUUCAACCUGGGACACUUUGCAUUUCACUCAAUGCUUCCACUUAAAAUAGUGAUCCCGACCAUUUUUCUUCAUAUUAAAAAUAAUCCAAAAAUUAACCACGUGUGUGGGGGCACGUUAAUUUCGAUCCAGAAAACCAAUAUCUCACUUUUUCAAACCCCACUAUUUAAUAUAAUAUUGAAAAUCCAAUUUUUGCAUCAAAACCCGACACUUGAGUUUUUAUGAAUAAAAUCUCUAUUUAUCACAAUCAACACUCAAUUUGCCACAUCCAUUCAUCAAAUUCAAAUUCUAAAUGCACAGCAGCGAUCAAUACGAAAUUCUGAGAAAAUAAGGUCCCAAAAUAAUUUUCGAAAUUUAUUAAAUAAUUAAAUUUAUUCCGAAAAUUAAUUAAAUAAUAUCCAUAUUUUUCACGAUCCACACUCAAUUUAUAAUAUCCAAUCAUCAAUUUCAAAAUAUGACUACACAGCAGCGACCAGCGCGAAAUUAUGAGAAUUUAGGGUCCUAACAAAAUUUUCGGAAUUUAAUAAAUAAUUAAAUUUAUUCCGAAAAUAAUUAAAUAAUAAUAUUUUAAUAAUUUCGAAUAAUAAUAUAUUAUUAAAUUAUUUAAUAAUUUCGAAAUAUUGAAAUAAAUCAAAAGUAAAUUCCUUUAUGUCAAAUCACAAUUAUACUAAUAUAAACAUCAUUUUAACAUGAACUAAACAUACUUUAAAUUAAACCAACCUCUUAAUCUAAUUCACAAUUAAAUAAACUAAACUAGCCACCUAAGCUUACUUAACUUAGACUAAGCAUACUUAUGGCAUUAUUAACCCUCUAAUCAAGAUUUAGUGAGUUAAACUCACUCAAAUAAUGAGCCGAGCAGACCAAAACGACAGGGACGCCGAGGGGAACAACUUUCUUCAAAGCGGGCCAAGCGUCCGGGGUUGGGAAGCCGGCCAAAACAGCCCAAAACCAGGCUGAGAUAUCCACUAAAACCAUCUGUUGUUUGAGGCAAACGGAGGGCUGCAUGGCGGCGGUUUGGGCGCGAAACCGGCGAGGAUGGGCAACAGCAACUCCAGCAGUGGUUGGCGACAACGAACAGUGGCGAUGGAGGCUCCGGCAGAUGGCGACAAGCAGCAGACGAAGAUUGGAAACUCGGGCUACGGACGACCGAACGGCGGGCUAGCCGGCGAGGCGAGCGCGGGUGAUGCGUGCGGUCGAACGGCGGCGAUGGCGACAAGCGAGCAGGCGGAGGGUGGCCGGUUAGGAGUGCAUCGCGCAAGGGGGUUUGGACGGCUGGUUUCUUCAGCUUUUUCCUCCCCUCUCUCUCUCUCUUCCCAAGCUUGAAGAUGAUGGAGACAAGGGGGAAGUGACAUCCCACCUUUUUGGGAUUAAAUCUCCACCCUCCAUGUGUCACCACCCUAGCCAAUCUUGCCCCACCUCAUGACAUCACUUGUGAUGUCACAAUCCACUAACUCCAAUCUCCCACAACCUUAUUCCAAUAGGUUCAAUUUCAUUUUCCGCCGGGCAUGAAAUCUUGUACAACAAUUCCAAUCAAUUCUCUUCUAAUUAAAGCCCAUAAAUUAAUCCAAUAUUCCUAAUAAGAUUUGUGACACACCAGGACUUCCAAUUUCAGAAUUCAAUCUCAAUUUCACGGUUAAUUUCACUUUGGCACGAUACUAACCCGUCCUGAUCUACCGGGCAGCUUUUAGAAAUUUUCAUGCAUUUGACCUGUGAUUGAUCAAUUCAAGCCACAAUGUACAUGGCAGCUUUUAGAAAUUUUCAUGCAUUUGACCUGUGAUUGAUCAAUUCAAGCCACAAUGUACAUCUUUGAUACAAUGGCGACUUAAACGUCGGUCCAAUGCCGAUUGAUCAGAAUUGUGCGAUCUGGUGGAAUCACCCACACUUGAUCACAUGCCUCCGUCGAGUCAACCUAUCUCCGGUCUCUAAUCGAUUUUUAAUUGUAUCAUAAUGACCCUUGCAGAUUAGCUCGAUCGAAAGGUUGCUUCCUGGUCAAAUUCUCGAGUCUGAUGCAUUAGAAUCUCUUAACGGCUUCACCUGAUAGACUAUUUUUCACAUGAGUGGCCAAUUCAAGGAAAAGAACUAUAUGCGUGCCAACGAAAUGCCCGUCUCAAUUUAUUGAAAAUAGAAUUGGAAAAUCGGGAUGUCACAACUAGUCUAUCAGGUGAAGCCGUUAAGAAAUUCUAAUGCAUCGGACUCGAGAAUUUGACUAGGAAACGACCUUUCGACCGAGUUAAUCUGCAAGGGUCAUUACGGCACAAUUAAAAACCGAUUAAAGACCGGAGAUAGGUCGACUCGACAGAGGCAUGUGAUCGAGUGUGGGUGAUUCCACCAGAUCACACGAUUCUUGUCGAUCGACACUAGACCGACUUUUCUGUCGAUUAGGUACCUUAUGUCCGUAUUUGAAACCUUGAGAUUACCCCGACAACCGAAAGUCAUCAAUGUGUCAAAGACGUACAUUGUGGCUUGAAUUGAUCAACCACAAGUCAAAUGCAUGAAAAUUUCUAAAAACUGCCCGGUAGAUCAGGACGCACUAGUAUCGUGCCAAAGUGAAAUUAACCGUGAAAUUGAGAUCGAAUUCAGAAAUUGAAAGUCAUUGUGUGUCACAAAUCAUUUUAGGAACAUUGACUCAUCUUCGGAAGAUUUUUCAUGUAAGCCGAACUUUUCAGCAAUUAAAUCAGAGAAUGGCUAAUUUGGCUCGAGAAAUUAGUAGGCCCGCUUUUGGUCGUGCUUUUGGGACUCAAGUUGGUUAUAUGGUCAAGUGAUUACGUAAAUUGAAAUGUGGUGAUAUUAGAUUAAUUUUAUGGACUUCAAUUUAAUUCAAUUGGAAGGAAAUUGAAUGAAUUGUGUUGUACAAGAUUUUGGAGAAUUCAUGUCACGGCGGAAAUUGAAAUUGGACCUAUUGAGAAGAUUGUGGUGGAAGAUUUGGGUGAGUGGGAAGUGAUGUCACAGGAGGUCAUGGUGGGCCAUUUUUGUUGGAUUAAAGAAAAAGAAAAGGAAAAAGAAAUGGUUUCAUCUCUCUCUCUCUCCUUCCUCUCUCCCUUCCGUCGAUUUCCCUUUCUCCAUCUCUCUUCUUGCUGCUCGACGGAACCGAGCAGACCAGCGAAGCCGGAGAAGUCGCACACCUCCGCCGGAGCCAGACUCGCCGCCGCACACCGUCGCUUCUCCGCCUUGCUCGCACGCCCUCCACCUUUCUCUUUCCUCCUACAACCGUCGACUUCUUCUUCUUCUUUGUGCUAUUUGAAACCCAACAGCAAGCCAGUAGCUCAGCUCAUCGCCGUCGCACGCCGCUGGACCGCCACUGCCGCCGUUCGUCCCCGCGCAGGCCGUCGCUACUCGCCGCUGCUCCGCACGACUCUGCCCGCCUCUCGUCUACCCCUGCAUCGCAGCUUCUGCCUCAUCUCGUGCUAGAGCUAUUCAGCCACUUCCGGCCACUGUGAGACCCCACCGUUGGCCGCACGGCACCGCCACAGCUCCUCCACCCGUUUCUGACUCAAGCCGGCACCGAAUCGACCCUUUCCCAGCCCCAACCAACAACGCAUAGAGUGGAGAAAAAGUGGGUAUUGCUGUCCGGUUUUGGCCUGUUUUGGCUGGCUUCCUGACCCUCGAAUGCUCGGCCCACCUUGGGGAAAUCCGAUCCUCAUGUCGAUCCCGUCAUUUUGGUCCGCUCGGCUCGCUAAUCCGGUGAAUUUAGUUCACUAAACCUCGAUUAGAGGGUUAAUUAUGUUUAUGGAGGUUUAGUUUAUGUUAAGUGUUAUUAGGUGGUUAGUUUAAUUUAUUUAAGUAUAGAUUAGACUAAUGUGUUUAAUUAACUUAAAGUGUGUUUAAUUUAGUACUAAGUGGAUGUUUAUAUUAAUAUAAGCCUUAAUGUGACUUAAAUGAAUUUAAUUUUGAUUUAAAUAAAUGUUUCGAAAUUAUUGGAUUAUUUAAUAAUAUAUUAUAUUACGAAAAUUAUUAUAAUAUUAUUAUAUAAUUAAUUUUCGGAAUAAAUUUAAUUAUUUAUUAAAUUCCGAAAAUUUUGUCGGGACCCUAUAUUCUCAUAAUUUCGCGCUAAUCACUGUUGUGUAUUCAGAUUUUGAAAUUGAUGGUUGUAUAUUAUGAAUUGAGUGUGGAUUAUGAAAAAUAUGGAUAUUAUUUUAUUUAAUUUUCGGAAUAAAUUUAAUUAAUUAAUUAUUUUCCGGAAAUUAGGCGAUGAUGGCCAAUGACCAGAAUUUUAUGCUGAUCAUCGUGGUGCAAUCCAUUUAUUUAUUUGAGCUUUAUUUUGUACUAACUUGAUUUAUGAGUGAUUUUAAGAUUUAUUCCUAAAUUGAAUAAUCUUUGGUUAUUAAUUGAAAAAUAAUCGGGCAUCGGUUGAUAAUGCCAAAAAUGUUUUGGUAGAUUACAAAAAAUGAUGGGAUAUAUGGAAAGGGUCGAGUGGGACCGUAAAGCCAUUGAAUCUUGAAAUGGUCGAUUGGGACCAUAAAGCCAUUGAAUCUUGAAAGGGUCGAGUGGGACCGUAAAGCCACUAAAUAUAGAAAGUGUCGAGUGUGAUCGUAAAGCCACUAAAUAUUGAAAGUUGCUGAGUGUAGCCGUGAUUACCACUAAAUUUAGAUUUGCCUGGAGGGCCGUGUUUGAGGGUCGAGAAUGAAUAGUCAGAAUGACCGUGCGAUGACCUCGAUGACAUGUAAUCGACUGAGUUGAUUGAUCGCUGAGUCGAUCCGAGCAAGUGAAUUGUUUGAAUUCUAUCACCGUAUAUGCCUGAGUGAUAUGAACAUGAUUGAGUGAUUUGAAUUGUGCUAACCUGCAGAAAGGAACGGAGGCGAGGUAAGUCCUUUAUGUGGUGUGGCUAGGCCACUCUUGGAUGUAUUUUCUUUCUAAUAAGGGUUUAGGGGGUUGAAUUUGCUAAGACAAUGUCUCAUCCCGGUUGUGGGAUUACAAUUUCAGGUCCCUAGAUGGCGGGCGGUCGUGGAGAACCCGAAGCCCUAAGUCUGGAAAGGUGGAAACUGAAUAAUCGGUGAACGUGUCCUGCUAAUUGGUCUUAGGAUAGUUCCCCUUUUGUCGAACUGGUCUAUUUUGUAGACAGUCCAGUGUUGUAUUUAAACCUAUGUUUUUAUAAAUGAGUGUUUGGUAUUGUGAUUAAUUGCAUACUUUUCUAUCCCAAGUUAAAUGUUGUCAGGGGAUUUUUUUCGCUUCCGCAUGCGUAAUAAAAUGAAUGGGUAGACGACGUAUCCAGGGAUGUCGCAUAUUUGAUCGACCGCAGUGGGAUGUGCGCGCACUCGGGGUUCGGGGCGUGACAUGUAGACUAACCCAAACUCAUUCCUAACAAAUGACUAAGGAGAGGGGCCCAUUCUCUUUCUAAUCCAAGCUUGUACACAAACUUUUCUGUCACGAAAAAGGAAAACAAAGGGAAAAAUAGAAAGCUUAUACAUAAAUUUUAUUUCCUUUUUCUUAUUUAUUUGUGUAUCUUCUUAUUAAUUGCUAAGUUGGAUGCACUGUCCAUCUUAGUCAUCUCAUGUGUCAUAGGAGAAUUACCUGAAAGAUCUUAAAUUUAUUGCAAUUGUGACAAUUUAAUUCUAAACUUUUUUUACCAAUUUAGCCCCAAAUCUUUUUAAUUCAAUCCAUCUAAUCAAAUUUGAUUGAUUGGCGCUGAUAUAAAUGUAGGCUGGUGUCAGUCGUUCGGUGAAUGUUAACGUGAAAUAUUUUUUCGAAUUUUCAAAUUUUUUUCCCAUCUUCCCCCUUCCUUUGGCCAAUCAAAGGCGAGGGCCAACAAGGUCACCUCGCAGACCAAUGAUGAGGCUCACCCCCGCUAACCACUAACAAGAGUGAGCCUCACCCAACCAUGGUGAGGCCCUGCUACAUCUAGCGAGGCUCGACCUCACCCAACCAUGACGAGGGCGAGCUUCAACAACCACAAGGUUGACCCUCGCCAAACCUAACCAUGGUGAGCCUAGUGAUAGCGAGGCUGACCUCACCAUGGCUAGGCGAGGCCUCACUAGUGGCCGAGGUGACCAACGUUGAGCCUCGCCCUCGCUACUAACCAACGAGAGUGAGUCUCGCCAUUGGCCAACAAGACUAAUCUAUGGCUGAUGACGAUCAUCUAGAGAAAGGAGGAAGGGAAAAAAAUAAAAAAAGAAAGAAAAAAAGGAAUAAAUAAAAAUUAUUUAAAAAUUCUAAAAAAAAUAAAAAAUUAUCUCGUCACUAAACGGUCUAGCUGAUCAAAUUUGAUCAAAUAGAUUGAAUUGACACAAUUAAAAUGAGUUUAAGGCUUUUUCGAUAAUUUUUCCCAUGUGUCACUCAUUAUCCUUAAAUGUCUGUCCCUCCAAUCCCCUGCCAAUUAAGGCAUCACUCACGAGCUCAAAUGGAAGCUAGCUUCUGUCAGAUGGAAAAAAGUUGGACCUCUUUGUUUGGAAUGAGUUACAAGUCUACUGAGUAGCCUCAUAUUGCGACAUGACAAUUAUGAUUCCAUAAAAUUUCAAAUGCCCAUGACCCUCACGUCUACAUAUGUCUACGCUGAUGAAAAUUAUAGAGGUGAUGGAUGAACAUUUUUCGGCUUAGCCAACCUUUAGGGGUGUCCGACAAAAAACAAAAACCUUAAAGAGGUGUCCUUAGACCGAAAAACAAAAUAAAUUAAAAACCUCAAUGAGGUGUCCAAUGAUGUUGUUGAAAUGCAUGCAAGCAGUUCGAAAAUAUGUUCAAUAGAGACAUUUCUUUCUUGGAAUCAACCGAUGUUGUAAUUCAAAUUUGAAGUCCAAGGUGUAGGCAAGUUAUUUCCUUUGUUUCGCUGAGUCUUCCUUGUAUAUGUCCUUGUCGUUGUUCAUUUCUAAUAUGAUCUUUCUUUGCCUUCGCUAUUCUUACUCGUGGAUUUUUGAAAUGACUACCGUGAAUCCCAUGCACAUGUUGUCUUGGCAAUGCUAAGGGAAUCCGGCUGAGUAAAGAUAUCACCAAGUGAUAUUGCUAUAGUUUUUAUUUUAUUCUAUUGAACAUGUAUUAUUAGGGUGAUGGCGAACCAGUUUAACUCUCUGGUAAUCCGAUGAACAACCCAGUCUCAACAUCUGUACUCCAGCUGCUCCGGCUAUGUAUUGCUGCUGCUCUUGGAUGAGCUGUUGAUUGCCCAGGAUUUGCAAGACACUGAAAUUGGAAGAAAGAAAAAAAAGGACCCAAAAUGCUUUUAAAUUUAAUGAAAUAACAAAUGCAAUUGAAUGGUGAUGAAGACUCUGGAAACCUUCACUGAAUUAAAAUGGGAAAAAGCUUCAACGCAAUUUGAGAUUUACAAGCAGUGAACAAGCCUUUCACUGGAUCAAAUUAGGUGGCGAAGCAUCUGUCUAUGUGCUCAGAUCUAUUAAUUGUCACUGGGAAAUUUCAAUUUUUCCCAACAUCUGACUCUAGAAGAGGUUCUCUCCUCCAUGGUCGGAAAAAAAAAAAAAAACCCUAAAAGUGGUUAGCAACACCAACCAUGCCUACGAACUUCGGUUCCACCUAUAGUCAAUGUCUAAAGUACAGACUAGUAUCUCAUGAAAGUAAUAUCCUCUAUGUUAUUGUAAUUUUAUAAGAAGUGGUCAUAUUAAAAGGCUAUUAGUUUUUGUUAUCGAGUUAGUGUUUUCUACACAGAUCGUCUAAUGUUUACAACAUCAUAGAAAGACACAAACUUUCAUACCUUCUACAAUCCCAUGUUAGAAGCAUAGAAUUGUACCUGAUGAUAGCAAGUUGGGUAGUAGUUUUCUUAACAUUAAUUACUCAGAAACAUCGUGCUACUAAUUUUUAUUACCGUAUUGGUAAUUACUAACUUUUUGAUAUUUUCACUAGGAAAGUUGAAUUUAUCCCAACAACUAACUCUAGAAGUGAUUCUCUCUUCCAUUCUAAUAAAAGACAAGGAUAAAAAAUAAAAAAGCUUGAAAAGUGAUUAGGUACGCCAAAUGUGAUCACUAAAAGUUUUGGCUGCAUCUAUAGUCCCUAGUUGGAAAACCCAAUACGUUCUUCUUGAAAUAAAUAUUCUCAAAAUUGUGAUAUCCACAAUGCGGGUCACUACUCAGUGUUAGUAACCUUUUUCUUUUCAAGUCAGUAACUUCUAAGCAGAUCAAGUAAUGGUCAGCACAGAAAGACACAGAUUUGGGUCCAUCUACAAUCCUACAGUCUUACAGUCUAAUAUACAUAGUUGUAUCUCUUGAUCGUAAUUCCCCUAAAAUUUGUUUUCCCAACAUGAGUUCGUAACUCUGUAUUAGUAACUUCUAUCAUGGAGUCAAUCACUUUCUUAAUAGAUCAAGUGUGGGACCAUAGAAGCACACAGAGAUCUGAGUUUGUCUACAGUUCCAUGCAAAAGAGAUAAGUAGUAUUGUAUCUCGUGACAGUAAAUUUAUCAAUGUGACAGUAAUUUUCUCAACUUGGAUUAGAGGCUUAGUGCUUGAAAUAAGUUUCAAGCAGAUCAUACGGUCUCAAGAUCAUAGAAUUCUUCGGUGAUGUUCAACCUAUCUGCUCUUUUGAACUUAUGCUAUCAAAAACAAAACUUCUCACAGAUGGAGAAAGGUCCAACAUAAAUACAGGUACAUAACCCUGAAAUUAAGUACCUCUCAUUAUGCAUUGUCCUUUUCAUAAAAACUGGUCAUGUAGCAGUACUCUUUAAAGGUUUUAGCACCAGGACCAAUAGAGAGCAAGACAAACUGAUGACCAGCAAAUUUAACCAGGACAACAAACUGUACAGCACACAAUCUACUAAUAUUAAUUUGAUGGACAAAAGCAACAAGCUUCUUCACUACACAAGCGUGUUAGAACAUUAGGGCAAAAACCAUUAUUAAUCAUUAAAGACCUCUCUCGGGUCUUAGCAGAUCAUAGAACUACACUGUUAGAUCAUACAUGAAAAUGAUUGAGAGGUUCUAUUUCAGGUUUCACAAGUUUGUGGAUAGUGGUUAAUAUAUGCACAGAAACGUGAUGAUGCAUGACAAGUGACAGGAAGGAAACAAAAGCACAGAUGGGAAAGAGGGUGACACCUUUGCAAGAAGCUUUUCAUUCUCUUCUUUCAGAGACCUCUCCUGAAGUACACCAAAUAAAGUUGCUAGAUUAAUAUAACCAGGAAUUUAACAAUGCCUGAUGAGAUCGGAUAUGCAUUCAUCAUAUUUGUCCACUUACCUUUGCUUGUAACUGCUGUAUCUGAUCAUUGAAUAAUUGAGCCUGUAAAAGAGUUCCAUAGAAAUAUUUUAACUUUCGUGUGUGUGCAUAUCUUCCCCAUACGUUUCUUAGCACAAGGUGGUAAAAAAAGAGAGAAAAUAAGUUGAAAUGAUGGACGAUAGAAAUGAAAGGACAAUGCUUCGCAAAUUGUCCAGAAACAUAGUUCAAGUGAUAAGUAGUACAUGGAAAUCGGUGAGGUUAAUAUAAUAAAAAAACUCACGAUAUUCUAU
rnacentral:lncRNA from 1 species